AACGAACGCUGGCGGCAGGCUUGACACAUGCAAGUCGAACGGAUGUAGCAAUACAUCAGUGGCAGACGGGUGAGUAACACGUGGGAACCUUCCUCGUUGUACGGGACAACUCAGGGAAACUUGAGCUAAUACCGUAUACGUCCGAGAGGAGAAAGAUUUAUCGCAAUGAGACGGGCCCGCGUCGGAUUAGCUAGUUGGUGGGUAACGGCCGUACCAACGGACGACGAUCCGUAGCUGAUCUGAGAGGAUGAUCAGCCACACUGGAC
rnacentral:rRNA from 1 species